UCUCCAUCAAUUGCUCUCUUUCUAGACGAUCCGUCUCCCUCUCGUUAAUUUUUUUAACUUCUCAGGUUCAGAAUACACAAUUUCAGUUCACACAAAUUGGAUCCAAGCAAUCCAUGGAAACAAAAGAUAGAAGAUAGAAAUCAGAUUAGGUGUUCUGUUUUGUUUAAAUGAAUGGUGAGCGUGGGGAGGAGGAAGAUCCUUGAAGAGUCUUGAAAAUUUCUCAGAUGAUUCGAGGAGAUAUUUUUUGUGGUUAAUGUCAUUAGACCCAGGUGGUUUCUAGGAGAUCUGUUAGAGGCUUAUAGAAGGAAAGGUUAUAGAAGUAAUUUUCUUUCCUUGAUUGAAUACGAGAAUUUUGAAGAAGCACAGGCUGCAAUAUCUGAAAUGAAUGGUGCUGAGCUCCUUACCCAGACCAUCUUUCAGCAAUGGACCUUCCAAAAGAAGAAGCAGAGGAGGAGAUACAACAUUAUUCUCGCCCUUCUCCUUAAGCAGACGGUCCUCCAAGUUCAAAUCCCUCGGCAUGAUUUGGAAGGUUAUCCAUUUUGUUGUUUCUUUCAGGUCACUCACCUUUAUUCAAGGAGUCCUAGGAGGUGAUACUGAUGUUACCUGUUUUUGGAAGUGCGUUUUCAUCUUGGGAUAUUAGUCCAAAUGAUAUUUGUUGAUGCGGAUGGUUGAUUCAUGCUUGAGAGGUUUCUCUUUCUUUUUCCCUCAACUGUUUUGUUGAUCUGAUUUCGUUUCCUCUAUGCCAUAACCAUUUUCUGUUCUUCCCUGGAUUGUGUGGCAUUCACCCAAAAAAGAAAAGUAUGGUACUAGUUUUUGUAAAAAACUAUGAUCGGUAUUAUGUUGAGUUACUUUGGACAA